rnacentral:rRNA from 1 species
UCGGGAAUUUUGGGCAAUGGGCGAAAGCCUGACCCAGCGACGCCGCGUGGAGGACGAAGCCCUUCGGGGUGUAAACUCCUUUUAGUGGGGACGAACGCAGACGGUACCCACAGAAAAAGCCCCGGCUAACUACGUGCCAGCAGCCGCGGUAAUACGUAGGGGGCGAGCGUUGCCCGAAUUUACUGGGCGUAAAGCGCACGUAGGCGGCUCCGUAAGUCUGGUGUGAAAUCUCGCGGCUCAACCGGGAGGCUGCACCAGAUACUGCGGAGCUCGAGGGCGGGAGAGGAGAUUGGAAUUCCCGGUGUAGCGGUGAAAUGCAUUGAUAUCGGGAGGAACACCAGUGGCGAAGGCGGAUCUCUGGCCCGCUUCUGACGCUGAGGUGCGAAAGCUGGGGGAGCGAAAGGGAUUAGAUACCCCUGUAGUCCCAGCCCUAAACGAUGGGCGCUAGGUGUUGGGGGAUUAACUCUCAGCGCCGUAGCUAACGCAUUAAGCGCCCCGCCUGGGGAGUACGGCCGCAAGGUUG